AUGUGCUUUAAAAAACUAAAUCUGAUCUGCAGGCAGUUUCAGACGAGAAGCCGGAGCCAGACGGCAGCAUCCGCCGGGGGUCAAAGCGUGCUGCAGAACAUGGACUCAAGCCAGCAGACGUCCUCUCACAGAGAGCCUGCCGCUCCAAACAAGGACUCGCUGGAUUGUCCUCAAUCGUACAGAACCGUCACUACGGUCUCUCGCUCUGAGACCUCGGGCAUGUUCCCCCCCGGUCGGGCCUCUGGCGUUGUGACUGUGUCGCAGUACAACAAGGAGGCCCUGGUCCUGGAGGGGUCGGAGCUUUGCUUCGAGGAAGUCCAAGCGCAGAAAUACUUCCAGAAGCUGCAGGGGAGGAAGGAGACAAGUACGCCGAGGGUUUGGGGGGUCUAUGAAUAAUGGCCUCAGACCCCCACGCUGUGUUUGACCAACUUGUGCUCUGUCAUCAGUAGAGAAGCUUCUGCAGGAGGAGGAAGAGGAGCUCCUGUGCAGUGUAGGGUGUGGAGAGUUCACCGGGGAGCCUUCACUGCACAGGGUGAGCAUAGACUUUAGCCUGGGGGGGGGGGGGGGCUCCACACUGCAUCCUGCUGGUGUGCUGCG
ensembl:lncRNA